rnacentral:rRNA from 1 species
AGGUGAAACCGCGAAUGGCUCAUUAAAUCAGUCAUGGUUCCUUAGAACAUACCAUCCUUCUUGGAUAACUGUGGUAAUUCUAGAGCUAAUACAUGCAACAGAGCUCCGACCCUUGUGGAACGAGCGCUUUUAUUAGACCAAAGACCAAUCGGAGCUUCGGCCCCGUCAGUCUGUGGUGACUCUGGAUAACUUUUAGCGGAUCGCACGGUCAUCGUGCCGGCGACUCCUCUUUCAAAUGUCUGCCUUAUCAACUUUCGAUGGUAGGUUAAUUGCCUACCAUGGUUGUAACGGGUGACGGGGAAUCAGGGUUCGAUUCCGGAGAGGGAGCCUGAGAAACGGCUACCACAUCCAAGGAAGGCAGCAGGCACGCAAAUUACCCACUCCCAGUACGGGGAGGUAGUGACGAAAAAUAACAAUGCGGGACUCUUACGAGGCCCCGUAAUUGGAAUGAGUCCACUUUAAAUCCUUUAACGAGGACCUAUUGGAGGGCAAGUCUGGUGCCAGCAGCCGCGGUAAUUCCAGCUCCAAUAGCGUAUACUAAAGUUGUUGCGGUUAAAAAGCUCGUAGUUGGAUGUCAGUCGCGGGCGGGCGGUCCACCGUUUUGGUGGUUUACUGCUCGUCCCGCGACCUACUGGCCGGCCUCCCCCGCUAUGCUCUUCACCGGGUGUGGCGGGUGGCCGGAAAGUUUACUUUGAAAAAAUUAGAGUGCUCUAAGCAGGUGCUUGCCGCCUGAAUAACACAGCAUGGAAUAAUGGAAUAGGACCUCGGUUCUAUUUUGUUGGUUUUCGGAAUUCCGAGGUAAUGAUUAAUAGGGACAGACGGGGGCA